rnacentral:rRNA from 1 species
UCCCAGACUCCUACGGGAGGCAGCAGUGGGGGAUAUUGCACAAUGGGGGAAACCCUGAUGCAGCGACGCCGCGUGUGGGAAGACGGUCCUCUGGAUUGUAAACCACUGUCCCCAGGGACGAAGAUGACGGUACCUGGGGAGGAAGCUCCGGCUAACUACGUGCCAGCAGCCGCGGUAAUACGUAGGGGGCAAGCGUUAUCCGGAUUUACUGGGUGUAAAGGGAGCGUAGACGGUCCUGCAAGCCAGAUGUGAAAGCCCAGGGCUCAACCCCGGGACUGCAUUUGGAACUGUAAGGCUAGAGUGUCGGAGAGGCAGGCGGAAUUCCUAGUGUAGCGGUGAAAUGCGUAGAUAUUAGGGGGAACACCAGUGGCGAAGGCGGCUUACUGGACUGUAACUGACGUUGAGGCUCGAAAGCGUGGGGAGCAAACAGGAUUAGAUACCCUGGUAA